rnacentral:rRNA from 1 species
GAAACGAUAUUAAAGUUCUUCUAUAAAAAGAAAUAUUCUCCCUACCAGGUCCUUUCGUACUAAGGCAAGGUCAACUAAACUGGAAGAUAGAAACCAACCUGGCUCACACCGGUUUGAACUCAAAUCAUGUAAGAUUUUAAAGGUCGAACAGACCCACUCAUUAAGCUGCUACACUUAAAAGAAACCUUAAUUCAACAUCGAGGUCGCAACUACUCCCGUCGAUAAGAACUCUCAGGGAAAAUUACGCUGUUAUCCCUAAAGUAACUUAAUCUUUUAAUCUCUAAUAAAGGAUCAACUAAACUAAUUAUACUUAUUCUAAUUAAAUGACAGUUACUAAUUUUUAUCUUUGCCGCCCCAACAAAACAAAUAAGAACUUAUAGAAAUUAAACCUUAAUUUAAAAAAAAAUCCUAAUUUUGUAAAAUUUUAUAGGGUCUUAUCGUCAUGUSAUAUCAUUUAAGCCUUUUCACUUAAAAGUAAAAUUCAAAAAUUGUAAAAAAGACAGCUUCCCCCUUGUCCGACCCUUCAUUCCAGCCUCCAAUUAAAAGACUACUGAUUAUGCUACCUUCGCACGGUCAAAUUACCGCGGCCCUUAAAAAUAUCAGUGGGCAGGCCAGACUCUAUAUAAUUUAAACAUACAGACAUGUUUUUGAUAAACAGGCAGAGGCAAUAUUUGCCGAGUUCCUUUUUUAUAACUCAUAUAAAAUAAAAAUUUAAUUUUAUUUUAAAUCAUUUUUUCACAAAUUUUAUAUACUAAUACAAACAAUAUAAUUAACAACAAUUAACUAACAAUUAUUUUUUCCUAAUUAAGAGCAAAAUAAUAAAAAUAUAAUAAUACUGAAUCUUAACUAAAACGCUUUAUUAACAUGGAUGUUUUUAUSCCADGUUUAAUAACUUAAAAUUCUAAUUUUAACUCCUCCUUAUAUAAGAAGCUCAUGCSUCCUACACUAAAAAAGUAAUAUUAUAAUAAUUACCCUAAAAAUUGAACUUUUUUCAAAAUAAACUUAACUUAACUUAACUUAACUAAAUUAAACUACUUAACCUAACUUAACUUAACUUAACUACUAACUUAACUUAACUUAACUUAACUUAACUUAACUAACUUAACUUAACUUAACUUAACUUAACUUAACUUAACUUAACCUAACUUAACUUAACCUAAAUUAAACUUUAUCUUAAUACUUAACCUAACUUAACUUAACUUUACUUCUAAACUAUUAUUAACUUAAAAUAUUCUAUCACAAUACUAAUUAAAAACUAAAUAUCAAUUAUUUAUAAAAUAUAACCCCAAACUUAAAACAAAAAUAAGUUUUAUUUU